GUUUGAUCCUGGCUCGGAUGAACGCUAGCGGCGCGCUUACCACUUGCAAGUCGCGCGCGAAAGGUGGAUCACCUUCGGGUGUGAAGCCGAGUAGAGCGGCGGACGGGUGAGUAACACGUAACCAACCUGCCCUUCCGACGGGAAUAACCCCGGGAAACCGGGGCUAAUGCCCGAUACGCUUCUGGACUCGCAAGAGCCCGGAAGGAAAGGCGCUUCGGCGUCGCGGAAGGAGGGGGUUGCGGCCUAUCAGCUCGUUGGUGAGGUAACGGCUCACCAAGGCCAAGACGGGUAGCUGGUCUGAGCGGACGAUCAGCCACACGGGAACUGAGACACGGUCCCGACUCCUACGGGAGGCAGCAGUGGGGAAUCUUCCGCAAUGGGCGAAAGCCUGACGGAGCGACGCCGCGUGGAGGACGAAGCCCUUCGGGGUGUAAACUCCUUUUCGGAGGGACGAAUAAGGCCAUCAGGAAAUGGGUGGCCGAUGACGGUACCUCCGGAACAAGGGACGGCUAACUCUGUGCCAGCAGCCGCGGUAAGACAGAGGUCCCUAGCGUUAUCCGGAAUCACUGGGCGUAAAGGGCGCCUAGGCGGCUCCGUGUGUCGUCCGUGAAAUCUUCCGGCUCAACCGGAAGAGGUCGGGCGAAACUGCGGAGCUUGAGGGCUGGAGGGGGAAGCGGAACUGUCGGAGUAGCGGUGAAAUGCGCAGAUACCGACAGGUACCUCGAUAGCGAAGGCAGCUUCCUGGCCAGACCCUGACGCUGAAGCGCGAAAGCAUGGGGAGCGAACCGGAUUAGAUACCCGGGUAGUCCAUGCCGCAAACGAUGUCGGCUAGGUGUUGGCUCCUUAAUGAGGGUCAGUGCCGCAGCUAACGCGUUAAGCCGACCGCCUGAGGAUUACGGCCGCAAGGCUAAAACUCAAGGGAAUUGACGGGGGCCCGCACAAGCGGUGGAGCACGUGGUUUAAUUCGAUGAUAAGCGAAGAACCUUACCUGGGCUUGACAUGCACGUGGUACGGAACCGAAAGGGGAUGGACCGCUUCCUUCGGGAAGCGGAGCGUGCACAGGUGCUGCAUGGCUGUCGUCAGCUCGUGCCGUGGGGCGUCGGGUUAAGUCCCGCAACGAGCGCAACCCCUGCGCUUAGUUGCCAGCACUUCGGGUGGGCACUCUAAGCGGACUGCCGGCGAAUAGCCGGAGGAAGGAGGGGAUGACGUCAAGUCAGUAUGGCCCUUAUGCCCAGGGCGACACACGUGCUACAAUGGCCGGUACAGAGGGUCGCCAACCCGCAAGGGGGAGCUAAUCCCACAAAGCCGGCCCCAGUUCGGAUUGGGGUCUGCAAUUCGACCCCAUGAAGUCGGAAUCGCUAGUAAUCGCAGGUCAGCCAUACUGCGGUGAAUGUGUACUCGGGCCUUGUACGCACCGCCCGUCACACCAGCCGAGUGGGGGGCACCCGAAGACCCUGCACAAGGGUUGAAGGUGCCCUCCGCGAGGGGGGUGAAGUCGUAACAAGGUAGCCGUACGG
rnacentral:rRNA from 1 species